rnacentral:rRNA from 1 species
AACGCGAAGAACCUUACCAAGUCUUGACAUCGUGAUGACCGGAACUUAACCGUUCCUUCCCUUCGGGGCAUCAUAGACAGGUGGUGCAUGGUUGUCGUCAGCUCGUGUUGUGAGAUGUUGGGUUAAGUCCCGCAACGAGCGCAACCCUUAUCCUCAGUAGCCAGCAGUAAGAUGGGCACUCUGGGGAGACUGCCAGGGAUAACCUGGAGGAAGGUGGGGAUGACGUCAAAUCAUCAUGCCCCUUAUGAUUUGGGCUACACACGUGCUACAAUGGCGUAAACAAAGGGAAGCGAGAGGGUGACCUGGAGCAAAUCCCAAAAAUAACGUCCCAGUUCGGAUUGUAGUCUGCAACUCGACUACACGAAGCUGGAAUCGCUAGUAAUCGCAGAUCAGAAUGCUGCGGUGAAUACGUUCCCGGGUCUUGUACACACCG